rnacentral:rRNA from 1 species
GAUUAACGCUAGCGGCAGGCCUAAUACAUGCAAGUCGAACGGCAGCACGGGUAGCAAUACCUGGUGGCGAGUGGCGCACGGGUGCGUAACGCGUAUGCAAUCUACCUAUAACUGGGGAAUAGCCUUCCGAAGGAAGAUUAACACCGCAUAAUAUCACGAAACGGCAUCGCUUUGUGAUCAAAUCUCCGGAGGUUAUAGAUGAGCAUGCGUGACAUUAGCUAGUUGGUGAGGUAACGGCCCACCAAGGCUACG